CAAACGAAAGUUUGGCUAAUACCGCGUAAGCUCCAAGGAGGAAAGUAGGGGACCUAAAUAAGGCCUUACGCUAUUUGAUCGGCCGAUGUCGGAUUAGCUAGUUGGUGGGGUAAUGGCUCACCAAGGCAAUGAUCCGUAGCGGGUCUGAGAGGACGAUCCGCCACACUGGGACUGAGACACGGCCCAG
rnacentral:rRNA from 1 species